AGCAGCAGGAAGGAUUUCACAGGGUGGGUGAGGUUGGAAGGGACCACUGAGGUCACCUGGUUCCACCUCCCCACGACCUCUCUGCACAAUCUGUUCGGGCUUGAUCACUGCACAGCGAAGAAGUUCUGCCUCAUGUCCAGUGUCUGGCUGUGGAUUAUCCCAUCCCAUGGAGAGCCACCCUGACUUGUUCCUGAUCUGUUCCUGCUUUCCCAGACAUGUUGCAAGUUUCCUUAUCAGCUGUACCACUCCAAUUGCAACCCUCCAACCUCCAGCUGCAGGGAAUAUCCCAAAGCCACAGCAUUAAAAGCUGUAUUUUGAAAUUCUCCGGGGGUAUACAAAAAGAAUGCUGAACUGGGAUGAAUAAAACAAUCUUUUCUGAAGGAAAGCAGCUUGGAAAAAUGUGCUUUUUGGAAUCCUAAAGGACUGAUUCCUGACAGUUUCCACCUGCUGGAAAUCCUGGUGAGCUCCCUGGGCUUGUGUAACACGGGAGGCAGAUGAGCACAGCAGCCUCUCCUCCCUUCUAACCAGUGAAGGCAGAAGCAGUUUUGGGGCUGUUCUGUGACAUUUAUAAAGCCUGACACCGUUUUAUCUGCUGCUGAUCUUGCCUGGAGGGAAUUCAAGGGUGAUACGUCCUGGCGUGAGUGAGACCGAUUUGUUUUGGGUUUGGAUGAAUACCAAAUCAUUUCUCACCGUGGCAUUUGGAGAUCCUUCCCCAGAUGACUGAUGUGGGUUUGCAGCCCCAGAGCUGGGCAGGGAGCCAGGGGACACUGCUGGAGCUGGACCCUGGGCAGGAGAGGGCAGGGGGAUGAGCAGGUGCCCCCUGCUCCUCCCUGGCUGGAUGAUGGUCGACUCAAAGGCUCCAGGUCUCUGCUGUUUCGGUGUUAUCUCUGUAGAGCACGAGAGCUGUGGGAUGGAGAGAGGAAAGUGGCUGGAGAGAGGUCAAAGACUGAGCCAAAUACCCUAAAUGUUCAAUCCCACUGUGGUUCUUGGCCGCUUAUGCAGCUCCAGCAGCCCUCAUUGCACAACUCAGUUUUACCAGGCUACGUUUCAUAACCAAAACAUCAUCUGAGAGCACGCUGCUUCCAAAUCCAGCCCAUCCUAAGAACAAAAAGACUUUGUGAGAUGUUUUGGGAGGCGCCCUGGGAGCCAGCAGCAGUUUGCCCGGGCCCAAGGCGUUGCACCAGCUCUGCCUUGUGCUUUCUGCUUGUCUGAAUCCAUGAAAUGACAGAACAUCACAGGCUGGUGGGGGCACAUCCUGUGGUUUGCUGUCGUUUUCAGCCCUUGUUUAACAAAAGAAGCUUCAGAUAGAUGACAAAGGCAGUGAACGGGAGCAUGACACUUGAUUUCUUUUUAAUUUGGACCGGGCAGUGAAGUCACAUGCCAACGUGGCAGGAAAUUAGAUUCUGAUUUUUUUUUUUUUUUUUUUAACUAUAAUGCAAUGGUGUUAUGCUAAAAUCCCAGGAAAUCUUGGCGGUAACAAAGGGGGGGAGUGUAAAUAUGAUGCCCCCAAGCCUGGAAGUUUAUGAGGCAUUAAAGCAGUGCCUGGAGCUCUCAGGUGCCCUGUGAACUGCUCUGUUA